rnacentral:rRNA from 1 species
AUGGCUUUAGUUAGAAAAUAUGGAAAGCCAGACGUAUUCCUAACAAUGACCUGCAACCCUAACUGGGAAGAGAUCACACGUGAACUAGAGUUUGGACAAACACCACAAGAUCGCCCAGACAUUGUCGUUCGUGUUUUUAGGGCGAAGCUAGAAGAAAUGAAGAAGCAACUAUUUGAGAAGUCCAUUCUUGGAAAGGUUACGACAUAUACGUAUGUCAUAGAGUUCCAAAAGAGGGGAUUAACCCAUGCUCACUUUUUGCUCAUCAUGACCGAAAAAUACAAGUACACAUGUCCAGAACAGUACAACAGAAUCAUCUCCGCUGAGCUCCCUAACAAGCACAAGUACCCAGAGCUAUACAAAAUGAGAUGGGUGGUUCCAUACAACCCCUAUCUGUUAAGGAUGUUCAACUGCCACAUAAUUGUUGAGAUAUGCUCAAGCAUUAAAGCCGUUAAGUACCUCUUCAAGUACAUCUACAAGGGACAUGACCGAGCAUCUGUAUAUGUAACCGACAAAGUAGACGAAGUCGAAAUCGCCGAGAUUAAACAGUACAGGGACGCACGGUGGGUGACACCUCCGAAAGCACUAUGGAGAAUAUAU